UGAUUUAGCCUAAAUCCUUUGGGAUAAGGUAUCAAGGAGGGUGAGAAUCCCGUCUGGUUAGAUCAAGAUGCUUUACGAUACGUUUUCUAAGAGUCGAGUUGUUCGGGAAUGCAGCUCAAAAUGGGAGGUAAAUUUCUCCUAAGGCUAAAUAGAGGCGAGAGACCGAUAGCGAACAAGUACCGUGAGGGAAAGAUGAAAAGAACUUUGAAAAGAGAGUUAAACAGUACGUGAAAUUGUUGAAAGGGAAACGAUUGAAGUCAGUCGUACCGAUGAGGAAUCAACCUUUUGAGAGUGGAUAUGUGGGAUUCAAAGUGCCUUUGUUUAUCGUAUCAUCUGCUUUUUUUGGGCGUACUUUUCGUAUGGUAGGUUAACAUCGGUUUUGAUCGUUAUAAAAUGACUGGAGGAAUGUAGCUUUGAUCUUGUAUUGAAGUGUUAUAGCCCUUGGUAGAUGUAACGGUUAGGAUCGAGGAUUGCAAUGGAUACCCUCAUGGGCUAUCCGUCUGGCCUCUGAUUUGUCACUUUGGUGCUGAAAGCGUGCUUAUGGUAUUAAAGUGUACGGUCAAAAGGUUAGAACGGAAUAAAUUCAUUAAGGAUGUUGACGUAAUGGCUUUAAACGACCCGUCUUGAAACACGGACCAAGGAGUCUAACAUAUAUGCGAGUGUUUGGGCGAAGAAACCCUUACGCGUAAUAAACGUAAUUUAGGUGGGAUCCAUUUUAUGGAGCACCAUCGACC
rnacentral:rRNA from 1 species